CUCCCAGCGUCUCUUUCCCUUUUUCUUACUGCAGCUUUCUUAUUUAAUGUAUAUUGGUGUUUUGCCUGAACCAUGUGCGCGCAGUGCCGUAGGGACCAGAAGAAGGUAUUGGACGCCUGUGAAGCUGGUGGUGGUGAGCCAUAUGAAUGCUGAAAUCAAACCUGGGUCCUCUGCGAGAGCCGACAGUACUAGACUCCAGCCCCCAACUGCAGAUUUUUCAGGAGCUAGAAAUUUGGUAGUGCAUGGGUGCUCUCGGUGUGUAAUGGACCUAGGGAUUCCCUCAACCACAGCUAACCGUGCCCUUGCUAAAACUCCCUAAGAUUUAAACUGUUCGCAGUCCGGCAUGCCUCAGAACUGCCGGACUGUGGUGAGGGAGGGGAGGGAUAGAGAGUACGGCAACAGUGUGCCCCCUAGUACCAGGAAAGCCUGGGCUACAUCACAAAAGCCAUGGUCUACGGAGCUGGUUCCAGGACAGCCAAAGCUACACAGAGAAACGGGGAGGGGGGAGGGAGCCUGUUUCUCUUUCGCGCCUCCAAAUAGCACUACACCGACAUAAAGAGCAGGGCAUGCAACUUGGGCUGCUGCGUUUUUUCUUUUACAAGAGCAACUCUCUGUUCUGUUAUUGUUCAAUACUGUUUAACACUUUACAUGGAACUGAGAAAAAACACAUGGCAAUUUUUUUAAAUUUAUGUUUGUUUUGCCUGCAUUCAUGUCUGUGCUUCACGUUUCUGCCCGAUGGCAGAGAAAGUCAGGUGUUAAAUCUGGAACUAGAAAGCUACAAGACAGUUGUGAGCUGCCAUGUACGUGUACUGGCACUUGAAACCAGGGUCCUGUGGCAAAGCAACAAGUGCUCUUAAUCGCUGAGUCGAUUUCCUCAACCCCUGGCUAUAACUUUUUAAAUAAAAUAAGGUAGCUAAGUUCAAACAAAAGAUCUAAUCCUUAACCUACCUUAAAAGUGAGAUGAGAGUCCUUGCUCAUGCUUCUGCGGUUUGAAUCCAGUAGUUUUUCCUUUUCAGCCACAAAACAUUACAGUAUAGAAUUGGAGACCCUGGUGCUUUCCUCUAACCCGCUUCCUGAUUCGCUCCUCCAUUUCAGUGGCUCCGUUAGAAAUGAUCCAA
rnacentral:lncRNA from 1 species